rnacentral:rRNA from 1 species
AAUCUUGCGCAAUGGACGAACGUCUGACGAACCGCUGCCGCGCGAGUGAUGAAGGUCUUCGGAUCGUAACACUCUGUUGUUAGGGAGGAACAAGUAUCGGCGCAAUAUGCCGGUACCUUGUCGGUACCUAACCAGAACGCCCCGGCUCCCUACGUGCCAGCACCCGCGGUAAUACGUAGGGGGCAAGCGUUGUCCGGAUUUAUUGGGCGUAAAGGGAACGCAGGCGGUGAUUUAAGCCUGAUGUGAAAUGUUGUGGCUUAACCACAAGGGUGCAUCGGAAACUGGAUAUCUUGAGUACAGAAGAGGAGAGUGGAAUUCGACGUGUAGCGGUGAAAUGCUUAGAGAUGAGGAGGAACACCAGUGGCGAAGGCGGCUCCCGGGUCUGUAACUGACGCUAAGGUGCGAAAGCGUGGGUAGCGAACA